rnacentral:rRNA from 1 species
GACGAACGCUGGCGGCGUGCUUAACACAUGCAAGUCGAACGGAAAGGCCCCGCUUUUGUGGGGUGCUCGAGUGGCGAACGGGUGAGUAACACGUGAGUAUCCUGCUCUUGACUUUGGGAUAACUUCAGGAAACUGGGGCUAAUACCGGAUAGGAGCUCCUGCUGCAUGGUGGGGGUUGGAAUGUUUCGGCGGUUGGGGAUGGACUCGCGGCUUAUCAGCUUGUUGGUGGGGUAGUGGCUUACCAAGGCUUUGACGGGUAGCCGGCCUGGGAGGGUGACCGGCCACAUUGGGACUGAGAUACGGCCCAGGCUCCUACGGGAGGCAGCAGUGGGGAAUAUUGCACAAUGGGCGGAAGCCUGAUGCAGCAACGCCGCGUGCGGGAUGACGGCCUUCGGGUUGUAAACCGCUUUCGCCUGUGACGAAGCGGGAGUGACGGUAAUGGGUAAAGAAGCACCGGCUAACUACGUG